CCUACGGGAGGCAGCAGUGAGGAAUAUUGCACAAUGGGCGAAAGCCUGAUGCAGCAACGCCGCGUGGAGGAUGACGCAUUUCGGUGUGUAAACUCCUUUUAUAAGAGAAGAAAAUGACGGUAUCUUAUGAAUAAGUCCCGGCUAACUCCGUGCCAGCAGCCGCGGUAAU
rnacentral:rRNA from 1 species